UCAUUCUCAUCCCAUAGCCCCAUGCGGUCAGUGGUUGCAGUUGAGGAGUCAGGGAAACCAGCUCUGUUGACUUCUUGUUUUCUAUUUCAAACCCUCGCCUAGGACUUCCCACUUGAAUAGGACCAAGAAGAACACACAAUGAGGCAGGGCUGUCUCGGAGCUGAUUUACCACAGUGAUCAAGGCUUUGUCCUCCACUCAGGAGCAUGCCAGCAAACAGAAGGUUUCCCGAAGGCCAGCCCGUCUGUGUGAGGAGUGACUGCAUGGGGUGAGUAGACCCGCCUAGCCCCAGCCACCUGUAGGAGACCCAGGUCAACAGCCAAGGGGAGGAGGCUGGCCUCCAGCCUUGCAAUCUGGUUCCAGAGAGAACUAAGGAAAAGCAAGGUCUAAAAGCGUGUUGGAAGACAAAGAAAGUUACUCCUCGAGAGAGAAGAUACGGAACUGAAUGGCCUGAGCCGAGCCUCAUGUUCCUAGUGUCUGGUGCUGUGUGCUUUUUGAGGAAAACGCAGAAAGACGGUGCAUUCCAGUUGGCUUCUGAGUAGAUAAUUGUUGCAGUGAGAGCAUUUGGUGUUGGAAACAACUAUUACCCGUUUGAAUCACUUAAAACACCACCAUGGAAAGAGAUACUCCUGAUUUACUCUCGCGGAGCAAAAGUGUGUCUGAAGAAACUUUGCAUUCCGGUAAUGAAGAAGAGGACCCUUUCCGAGGAAUGGAGCCCUAUUUGGUCAGGAGACUUUCAUGCCGCAACAUUCAGCUUCCUCCCCUGGCCUUCAGGCAACUGGAGCAAGCCGACUUGAAAAGUGAAUCCGAGAGCAUUCAGCGGCCCACCAGCCUCCCCCUGAAGAUCCUACCACUUAUUGCCAUCACUUCUGCAGACUC